rnacentral:rRNA from 1 species
AACGGCAGCACGGGGGCAACCCUGGCGGCCAGUGGCGGACGGGUGAGGAAUACAUAGGAAUCUACCCUGUCGUGGGGGAUAACGUAGGGAAACUUACGCUAAUACCGCAUACGACCGAGAGGUGAAAGCGGCGGACCGCAAGGCGUCGCGCGGCUGGAUGAGCCUAUGUCCGAUUAGCUAGUUGGCGGGGUAAUGGCCCACCAAGGCGACGAUCGGUAGCUGGUCUGAGAGGAUGAUCAGCCACACUGGAACUGAGACACGGUCCAGACUCCUACGGGAGGCAGCAGUGGGGAAUAUUGGACAAUGGGCGCAAGCCUGAUCCAGCAAUGCCGCGUGGGUGAAGAAGGCCUUCGGGUUGUAAAGCCCUUUUGUACGGGAAGAAAUCCUGUCGGUUAAUACCCGGCGGGGAUGACGGUACCGUAAGAAUAAGCACCGGCUAACUUCGUGCCAGCAGCCGCGGUAAUACGAAAGGUGCAAGCGUUAAUCGGAAUUACUGGGCGUAAAGCGUGCGUAGGCGGUUGGCUAAGUCAGAUGUGAAAGCCCCUGGGCUCACCCUGGGAAUGGCAUUUGAA